rnacentral:rRNA from 1 species
CAAUAGCGUAUAUUAAAGUUGUUGCGGUUAAAAAGCUCGUAGUUGGAUUUCUGCUGAGAACGACCGGUCCGCCCUCUGGGUGUGUAUCUGGCUCUUUCUUGGCAUCUUCUUGGUGAACGUUGCUGCACUUGACUGUGUGGAGCGCUACCCAGGACUUUUACUUUGAGGAAAUUAGAGUGUUUCAAGCAGGCAUACGCCUUGAAUACAUUAGCAUGGAAUAAUAAGAUAGGACCUCGGUUCUAUUUUGUUGGUUUCUAGAGCUGAGGUAAUGAUUAAUAGGGAUAGUUGGGGGCAUUCGUAUUUAACUGUCAGAGGUGAAAAUCUUGGAUUUGUUAAAGACGGACUACUGCGAAAGCAUUUGCCAAGGAUGUUUUCAUUG